UACUGGCCCCAAAUCCCAUCCAUGUGUGUGCUCAAAGUUGGAAACACGUCGGCCUAGUCUCUUAAGGAAUUUCCCAAUGUGGAUCCUGAAUGUUAGAGUAUAUAUAUCUGGAGGAAAAGGAAACUUGACUGUUCCACUUACUUCAAACCACCAGACUUGCUGGCAAUAUGCCACGACCUGGAACCUUGAUUCGUCCGUUGCAAACCAGUUCCAAUGUCUCCUGUCUUCACUACUUGUUAUUGACAUUGCUUUUGAAGAGAUUGACAUGCAUAUCCUUCCACUUAUUUUGUCCAACCACACAUCCUUAUUAUCUUCGUCAAACGAGAAGGGACGAGAGAGAAGGGCAAAUAUACUCUUCUUCGAAAGACCUUCGUAUCUCCAAGGAGGCAAAAGAUCAAGCAUAUGGUGGUAAUUAGAAGGAAGUUUAGAUUCCCACACAGCAUCAGAAGAAGCAGCACCGCUAAAUGCCCGGUUCAGCCGAGCGAGAUUACAAAUCUCCGGCGGCGUUAGGUACAUGAAAACACAGGCCACGCAACUUUCCGGUAUGUCGCCUAGCCCCGUUUUACCGGUAACCGUACCAUUCUCCGCCGUGUUGGACAACGAUGCCCCCAUGCAAUUUUGCCUGUUUAUGUAUCGGAAAACAGGGCAAUUUCGGGUCAAGUCAUGGUUCUGUCGCGGCGGUGCACGGCGGAAAUGGACCGGUG
rnacentral:misc_RNA from 1 species